AUCUAAGAGAUUAGACGUUCCCUUCGGGGACAUGGAUACAGGUGGUGCAUGGUUGUCGUCAGCUCGUGUCGUGAGAUGUUGGGUUAAGUCCCGCAACGAGCGCAACCCUUAUUAUCAGUUGCCAGCAUUAAGUUGGGCACUCUGGUGAGACUGCCGGUGACAAACCGGAGGAAGGUGGGGAUGACGUCAAAUCAUCAUGCCCCUUAUGACCUGGGCUACACACGUGCUACAAUGGAUGGUACAACGAGUUGCGAACUCGCGAGAGUAAGCUAAUCUCUUAAAGCCAUUCUCAGUUCGGAUUGUAGGCUGCAACUCGCCUACAUGAAGUCGGAAUCGCUAGUAAUCUCGGAUCAGCAUGCCGCGGUGAAUACGUUUCCCGGGUCUUGUACACACCUAAUCUAAAUUUC
rnacentral:rRNA from 1 species